UACGUAGGGACCAAGCGUUGUUCGGAUUUAUUGGGCGUAAAGGGCGCGUAGGCGGUUCGGCAAGUCUCUAGUGAAAUCUCAGGGCUCAACUCUGAGUCUGCUGGGGAAACUGCCGGGCUUGAGUGUGGGAGAGGAGAGUGGAAUUCCUGGUGUAGCGGUGAAAUGCGCAGAUAUCAGGAGGAACACCAAUUGCGAAGGCAGCUCGCUGGGACGUUACUGACGCUGAGACGCGAAAGCGUGGGGAGCAAACAGG
rnacentral:rRNA from 1 species